CAAAAACAUCGCCUCUUGAACCUACAUAAGAGGUCCCGCCUGCCCAGUGACCAAGUUCAACGGCCGCGGUAUCCUAACCGUGCGAAGGUAGCGUAAUCACUUGUUCUUUAAAUGAGGACUAGUAUGAAUGGCACCACGAGGGCUAUACUGUCUCCUUUUUCUAAUCAAUGAAACUGAUCCCCCCGUGAAGAAGCGGGGAUAAAUAUAUAAGACGAGAAGACCCUAUGGAGCUUUAAACAAAAUAGCACUGGCCCCUCUUCCUACCUUCCAGAAACAUUACACCUAUACUGGCCAAAAUGACUAUUAGUUUUAGGUUGGGGUGACCACGGAGCAAAAAUUAACCUCCACAUUGAAUGGAAAUUCUCCUGAGCCGAAAGCUACGACUUUAAGCACCAAUAAACUGACAUUAAUUGACCCAAUAUUUUGAUCAACGAACCAAGUUACCCUAGGGAUAACAGCGCAAUCCAUUUCAAGAGCUCCUAUCGACAAAUGGGUUUACGACCU
rnacentral:rRNA from 1 species